rnacentral:rRNA from 1 species
GUAGGGGGCUAGCGUUGUCCGGAAUCAUUGGGCGUAAAGCGCGUGUAGGCGGUUCGGUAAGUCGGCUGUGAAAGUCCAGGGCUCAACCCUGGGAUGCCGGUCGAUACUGCCGGACUAGAGUUCGGAAGAGGCGAGUGGAAUUCCCGGUGUAGCGGUGAAAUGCGCAGAUAUCGGGAGGAACACCAAUGGCGAAGGCAGCUCGCUGGGACGUUACUGACGCUGAGACGCGAAAGCGUGGGGAGCAAACAGGAUUAGAUACCCUGGUAGUCCACGCCGUAAACGAUGGGCACUAGGUGUGGGAGGUGUCGACUCCUCCCGUGCCGGAGCUAACGCAUUAAGUGCCCCGCCUGGGGAGUACGGCCGCAAGGCUAAA